GACAACUGUGUAUAGCGCCACAAACUUUUCUGACCCGGUGAACGACGCUGUUGUCGCAUUUUUAGUAUGAUUUUCAAAAUGACCACCGGGUCAAAUUAAUUUGUAGCACUAUACGUAUAUUUUUUAGUUUAAUACCACCCAUAGACCACAAGACCUCAGCCUCGAUAGGGGCUGGAAGUACAUGACCCGGAGAGCAAGAUCCUCACGCCUUACUCGAGCAAGAAGGCUAAGUCUCCGACGCCCGUACCCGGAUUAUACAUCUGGGAGGUUUUAACCUGCUGUGAAAUGUAGGUUCCUUGAAAGUAUCGCGGCAAUGUUUUUGUCGAGGUAUGAGCUACCGCAGAAGCUUUGCCUGAGUAGAGUGUGAGUGCUAGAAGAACGUAGAGGAUGGAAUGACUCUUUAAGUGCAUCUCCUGUGAAAUUCGAAGCUCUUUUUCGAAUCCAUGUCCGGGUCAAAGGUACCUCGUCCUCGUCGUGCAAAGGUUGAUUGAGUUGCCAAGAGUGCGUUGUAUGUAGUUGUCCGAAAUGUAAAACAGAUUUUUCGGGUGUUUCUUUCUGUUACCAAUACGCCUUACGUUGUAUUGUAUUCGGUCUUCUUGAAGAAAUGCGGCCUAUGGUCAAUGGCCAAUGAGACGAGGAAAAUCUUAGGGAACUUUAGAGUUAACAUUUCUUUUCAAAACCAAAAACAAACUUGAAAAUGUAAAAUUAAAUUCACAAAAUCUCUUACCGAAGUUCAUGUGUUACUGAUAACAAACCUGAAAUUUUGUUUUCGUACGAUUACCAUAUCUCUAUUUAUUUUUCUUAUUACCGCAUGGAAGUAACAUUGAGCUGGUCAUUAUAAGUUUUUUUGCAAGUGUUAUUAAUAUAGCAAUCGUAGUAAAUACCAAAUAGUAGUAGGAAGCGCCUUGGACGUUGCCAAUAUAAUCAAACGUUUCGGCAGAUUGCCAAGUUUAGCACUGCAUGUACCUUUCUUCGAGUCCAGAAUGUUUCAACAAAUCUAUUUACAAUUAGUCAUGUUUACGUGGAAUAUUUCCCAAAACCCAUUUAAUUAUAGUCCUUAGAAAGGAAAUUUUUGGUAAAUAUUGACAAAGAUUCGUGGAAGCAAUCAAAAAUAAACAAAUAAAAAUUAUAAUUUAUUUUACGGAACAGGAUAUUAAAGUCACUUCUGUGGAAUUCUUUUGAUAGAAUCGAAAAAAACUAUUAAAUCAAUUUCCGUGUGGAAAAACUUUAAAUUUGUUGAUGACGAUUUAAUGCGAUAAGCUUUUGUCUUUUGGCUGUUAAAGACUUCCUAUUCCUAAACUAUUCCUCGGAUAUUCAAUAACCUAUAAAACCAUGCUUUUAAUGUUUAAUUAAUAAUUUGAAAAAUAGUAGUAUUUAGAAAUUCUCCUUUAAUUAAAGUCAAUCAGAGGACUGUGUUGUUUUGAGUAAACAGUAUUUAAAGAUAUACGAGUUGAUUAAAAGAGAACAUACACAUGAGUAUAAAAAAGAAUGACAAAAGAGCAUUUAAAGGCAAAUCGUUGGCCCGCGACGUGUCGGUCAUAAGGACAGUGUCAAGUACAAAAAUAACGGUGACGUUUGUACUGUUUGAUCUUAAUGCACUCAGAGAUUUUACACGUUCUUUAAUUAGUUUUCAAUACAUUACUGGUAAAUCGCGAGGUGGCUUUCUUAUAUUUACUAACUUUUUAAAACUUCAUCAUUAACAACCGUAUAAAGUAUAAAGAUUCCUAAUUUAUAUCGAAAGAGUUCUUAUUUUAUAUCCAGUAUUAAUUUACUACCUGUACUAAAAUGUGAAUGUUACUAAAAGUGUUAAUUAUUAUAUUGUUUGUGUUUAUUGUCGACAUGUCAACGUCUCAUAAAAAAGUUUAAAAAUGAUUAUGGAAAUAUUUUAUAGUUCUUGUAGAUUACAAAAACAAUAUUUAACAAAUAUUUUAUUACCAUGGAAUAUGGAGUUUUGUUUUAGACUUAAUUAAAGUAGCACCUAAUAAGAUCUAUUAAUGAUCUAUUUUUAGUUUCCACACCAAGAAAACUCUAUAAAUUAGUCUCGUUGACUAUUUUAAUCAAUCUCAAUGUACCUAUCUGUAUCCGCACACAUACGCAAACUUGUAAACGUGUACUAAUAAAUAAUGCUGCGUUUGUGCGCGUUGUACUGCCAACUAAUACGACCGCCUGGGAGUUUUAUUUUAGUUUGCAAAGUCACCGGUUAAUCUUUAUUCCUUCCUAUUUCCUAAUGUUCAUAACAAUUGGCAGUUAAUUUUGAUCAAUAAUACACUCAAAUUAGUGUUCUUUUUUGGGUUGUGUUGACGGUGUAAUAUUGUCAAAAUAGCCUCCAAUCAAGUGUAUCUGUUGUGUUUCACCCGAUAAGUGACCUCAGUUAAUCAAUUAAAAUCUAGACUAGAUUACGAGUCUUGGAAUGAAGCCAAGAGUGUGUGUUAUUGACGGUAUCAUGACUACGCUUUCGGAAACACACAAACGCUGGCUGUUAUGUCAACUUGUUUGUCAGUGCGAGUUUAUGUGUUGAAUGUAUUUCAUCGUCGGUAUUCUGCGGCGGUUCGGGGAGAAAUUCUGGUAAGUGACACUGUACACUGACGACAUUGGCGUAUCUAGAAUUAUUUCCUAGGGCCUAAUUGUCUAACGGACUUCAUUGAUCGUAAAGUUCAUACGAUCGGCUACGAUCAACGAUCAAUCGUAACUUUACAUUGGUAUUGUCUAAUUUAGUUCAUUAUAUGAAGACCGGAUGGUGAACGAUGAACUGAAAUCAUUCAUGAAGAUUGCGUAUUGUUUAUGCAAAACGAUAGUGAAACUAUCGUUAAUAAUAUUAUCAAAUUUAUGUCAAACUCCAUAAUAAUGCAUAUAUUUUAACAAAGUUUUAUGUCUUUUGUUUAAAACAUUAAAGAAGCAUUAAAUUUCACGACAAAUAUCUACUAUUGAAGACAAUAGCGUGAGAAAAUGGUACAUGCAACUCAAGUAACAAAACGCAAUUAACGAAUUUAACCAAGGGCUAUUUGGACUAUUUGGUAAUCUCCCUGUUGUCUGUGUAGGCUAGUGUCAAAAUAACGGGGUAUCCUAUUAGUCUGUGGUGAAACAUAGCAUAUUAAUAACCUGUGGAUUAGAAAUUUAAAUUUUAUAAACAAAACAAAAUUUUUAUUUUUCAGGUUUUAAAGAGAAUUUAGAAAUUGAGCAAAGUUUUACUAAAUUAUAGUGAUCUUAGGAGCAAAGUUUACUUCGUUUGUGUUAUUGUUAAUCAAAAAUAUAAAAGAAAAACUACCUCUAUCUAAUUUUGUCGAUAUCCAUUUCUUAAGAAGUUUCUCAUUAAAACAACCCUUAACUCAGGCAAGGCAGGGCUAAGGUGGUUAGCGUAACUACAAGUGGUUAACUUAAAGUUAGCCAACUGAAGAACAAUCAACAAUGCCCGAUUAAUAAGUGAUCGCGCUGCUUGUCUACUACAUGUCCCUGCACUAGUUAGUUAGUUAGCACUAGCAGUAAUUUCUUUGUUGGGAAGUAUUUAGCACAUCCGGGCUGCGCAAAAGGAGAGGACUAAAUUGAUUAUUAUGAACAGAUCAUUAUGAUGAUCCACUGAUAUUGACUCAAAGACAUGAAGAUGAGUGCUUUGACAACAAGACUGACUAGCUGAGCCAGUUUAAGAAAAAUGUGGUGUGUGUGUGUGUCUAAUUCCAGGAGCUCUCUAUGUCAGCCAUCCAUCUAUAUUCUUACUCAUUUUUGUUAAUUAUAAAAUAAAUUUGAUUAUUUAGUAUGUAACUUCAUUGUACCUAUCCUGCUAGCUGUUAGAAAGAUAGCAUCUGUAAUAAUUUAUUUACGGUAAAACAUAUUUAUAAAUAAACAUGCUUUAACAUUUAAGUAUGGCCAAUAUGUUGUCAAGUACAGUGGGCAGGGCUGAAUCCAUGAUCCCUCAGUGUCUAGUCUGGCCCCUUUAUGGAGUAGCUAGUUAGGCUUUAGCAGAUUUAUAUUCUAAUUUGGUAAAACUCGUUUUUCUGAUUUAAGAAAAUAUACUAAUCAUCAAAACAGUGUCUGCAAGUACUGUACAGGCCUACUGUUUGGAUGAGAAGUAUAUAUUUGAUUAUUUUUAAGCUUUGUGGUUUCAGGGUUUAAAAAAUGUCUAACUGAAAGUCUAUGUUUACUGUAUUUAUUAUUAUUAUAAUAAAUAAACUUAAAAAAUC